AGUGAACGCUGGCGGUAGGCCUAACACAUGCAAGUCGAACGGCAGCACAGUAAGAGCUUGCUCUUACGGGUGGCGAGUGGCGGACGGGUGAGGAAUACAUCGGAAUCUACUUUUUCGUGGGGGAUAACGUAGGGAAGCUUACGCUAAUACCGCAUACGACCUACGGGUGAAAGCAGGGGAUCUUCGGACCUUGCGCGUUUGAAUGAGCCGAUGUCGGAUUAGCUAGUUGGCGGGGUAAAGGCCCACCAAGGCGACGAUCCGUAGCUGGUCUGAGAGGAUGAUCAGCCACACUGGAACUGAGACACGGUCCAGACUCCUACGGGAGGCAGCAGUGGGGAAUAUUGGACAAUGGGCGCAAGCCUGAUCCAGCCAUACCGCGUGGGUGAUGAAGGUCUUCGGGUUGUAAAGCUCUUUUGUUGGGAAAGAAAAGCAGCAGGUGAAUACCCCGCUGUUCUGACGGUACCCAAAGAAUAAGCACCGGCUAACUUCGUG
rnacentral:rRNA from 1 species